GCCCCCUUCUUAAUCUCCACUUUCUUCUUAACUUCUUUAUUCCACCACUAGUCCCCCUUAUGUCGUCCUGCUUGACCCCUCAAAACACCCAACACCUUUUCAUCCAUCUCCUGGAUACAGCUGGCUGCCUUAUUCGACAUGACAUAUAUGUCCCCCUUACACUCCUACACCCUCAUUCCCGCCACCUACUUCCCUAACUCCAGUGUACUAACUGGCAUUAAGCUGCUCUACUUAAUUCUAGGUCGCCCCCUCUCUAGCCCUACUCUUCCUG
rnacentral:lncRNA from 1 species